CAUUCGAGUGGCGGACGGGUGAGUAACGCGUGGGUAACCUGCCUUACACAGGGGGAUAACACCUGGAAACAGGUGCUAAUACCGCAUAAGCGCACAGGGCCGCAUGGCCCGGUGUGAAAAACUCCGGUGGUGUAAGAUGGACCCGCGUCUGAUUAGCUUGUUGGCGGGGUAGGGGCCCACCAAGGCGACGAUCAGUAGCCGGCCUGAGAGGGUGAACGGCCACAUUGGGACUGGGACACGGCCCAAACUCCUACGGAAGGCAGCAG
rnacentral:rRNA from 1 species